CUUGGUGGCCAUACCGGCUUGUCAAAGCCUGAUCUUGUCAGAUCUCAGAAGCUAAGCAAGACUGGGCCUGGUUAGUACUUGGAUUGCUGGGAAUAUCAGGCACCACAGUGA
rnacentral:rRNA from 1 species